rnacentral:rRNA from 1 species
UGAGGAAUAUUGCGCAAUGGGCGAAAGCCUGACGCAGCGACGCCGCGUGGGGGAUGAAGGUCUUCGGAUUGUAAACCCCUUUCGGGUGGGAAGACGGCCCUAGACAACUAGGGCGGACGGUACCGCCAGAAGCAGCCACGGCUAACUUCGUGCCAGCAGCCGCGGUAAUACGAAGGUGGCAAGCGUUGUUCGGAUUUACUGGGCGUAAAGGGAGCGUAGGUGGUUAGGUAAGCCCUCCGGGAAAUCUUCAGGCUUAACCUGAAAAGGUCGGGGGGGACUGCCUGGCUAGAGGACGGGAGAGGAGCGCGGAAUUCCCGGUGUAGCGGUGAAAUGCGUAGAGAUCGGGAGGAAGGCCGGUGGCGAAGGCGGCGCUCUGGAACGUUUCUGACACUGAGGCUCGAAAGCGUGGGGAGCAAACAGG